GAUGAACGCUGGCGGCGUGCCUAAUACAUGCAAGUCGAGCGAAUGGAUUAAGAGCUUGCUCUUAUGAAGUUAGCGGCGGACGGGUGAGUAACACGUGGGUAACCUGCCCAUAAGACUGGGAUAACUCCGGGAAACCGGGGCUAAUACCGGAUAACAUUUUGAACCGCAUGGUUCGAAAUUGAAAGGCGGCUGCGGCUGUCACUUAUGGAUGGACCCGGGUCGCAUUAGCUAGAUGGGGAGGUAACGGCUCACCAAGGCAACGAUGCGUAGCCGACCUGAGAGGGUGAUCGGCCACACUGGGACUGAGACACGGCCCAGACUCCUACGGGAGGCAGCAGUAGGGAAUCUUCCGCAAUGGACGAAAGUCUGACGGAGCAACGCCGCGUGAGUGAUGAAGGCUUUCGGGUCGUAAAACUCUGUUGUUAGGGAAGAACAAGUGCUAGUUGAAUAAGCUGGCACCUUGACGGUACCUAACCAGAAAGCCACGGCUAACUACGUGCCAGCAGCCGCCGUAA
rnacentral:rRNA from 1 species